UGGGGAAUAUUGCACAAUGGGGGAAACCCUGAUGCAGCGACGCCGCGUGAACGAAGAAGGUAUUCGUAUCGUAAAGUUCUGUCCUAUGGGAAGAUAAUGACAGUACCAUAGAAGAAAGCUCCGGCUAAAUACGUGCCAGCAGCCGCGGUAAUACGUAUGGAGCGAGCGUUGUCCGGAAUUAUUGGGCGUAAAGGGUACGCAGGCGGUUUAAUAAGUCGAAUGUUAAAGAUCGGGGCUCAACCCCGCAAAGCAUUGGAAACUGAUAAACUUGAGUAGUGGAGAGGAAAGUGGAAUUCCUAGUGUAGUGGUGAAAUACGUAGAUAGUAGGAGGAAUACCAGUAGCGAAGGCGACUUUCUGGACACAAACUGACGCUGAGGUACGAAAGCGUGGGGAGCAAACAGG
rnacentral:rRNA from 1 species